AUCCAACUGAUGAGUCCCAAAUAGAAUGAAACGCGCAUAUUGGAU
rnacentral:hammerhead_ribozyme from 1 species